rfam:Zea mays cultivar B73 chromosome 4, whole genome shotgun sequence.
GUGUUAGAUGAUGAAGAACUUGUCUCCUCUAUUCUGCACGAGUUAGAUUCAGAUUAUGUCCCACUUGCUUCUUCAAUUAUGUCACGACUAAAAUAUAUAUCUUUUAAUGAGUUGUAUGCACAAGCUCUUGGUUUUAAU